rnacentral:rRNA from 1 species
UACGUAGGGGGCAAGCGUUGUCCGGAAUCAUUGGGCGUAAAGCGCGUGUAGGCGGUCCGAUUAGUCGGCUGUGAAAGUCAAGGGCUCAACCCUUGAAUGCCGGUCGAUACUGUCGGACUAGAGUCCGGAAGAGGCAAGUGGAAUUCCCGGUGUAGCGGUGAAAUGCGCAGAUAUCAGGAAGAACACCAAUGGCGAAGGCAGCUCUCUGGGACGGUACUGACGCUGAGACGCGAAAGCGUGGGGGAGCGAACAGG